rnacentral:lncRNA from 1 species
GUUGUCUGUGUUCAUGUCAUAAUGGUCUUUACAAUCUGGAGUCGGUUCAGCAUAAGGAGUCCUACGAGUUCCCUAACUUCAGUCAAGUAGUUUCGUUACCACAGAGGGAGUCAGCUUCUGGAUGCCUUCUUCAAAAUGGAAGAGUCCCUUUAAUUCCAGAGUGCAGUUCUUUGGAAAUGAGGGCAACUGGUCCUUUGGGAAGGAAAGGCAAUUUAGCAAUUUAGAAUUGACUUAAGGAAAGUUGCUCACACAUUCACCUCCUUUGGGUCUUCAUUUGUUGGGAAGCAUUUGUGUUGGGUAAACUAUCCCCCCAACCUUGGAGGCUAUUUUGUGAAUUAAGUGUGUUUCUGGCCCAGCAAACAACUUGUUAUAAGGUGAGUAAGAAGGAACAAAGAUUUUCAUACCUGUCUGGGGAAGUGUGAGUCAGUUGUGGAUUCCACCUUAUCUGCUUGAGGCAGUUCUGCCACUUUGAUUGUCUUUUGUGGCUGACUAAUGAUGGAUACUUUGG